rfam:Schistosoma rodhaini strain Burundi genome assembly, scaffold: SROB_scaffold0003246
AUCCAGCUGACGAGUUCCAAAUAGGGCGAAGGCGCGUUCUGGGU